GAAUUCGAAAGUGCACAGGAAAAUAAUGAAACCAAAAUCGCCAAUAUAAUUGGUUUUAUCAAUCGUUACACUGUAUUUAUAACAUAUAGAGCACGAGAUUAUUGAUCGGCGAUACACUAAAAUAAAACAUAUUUAAUCAGAUUUGCGAGGUGACCAGUUUCCAGACAUCGGUUCGCUCCUGCUUGUGUACGAGAUUGGCCGAGACUAAAAAAGCUGUAGUGUGCCACCUCGAUGUAGGAAGAACAUUCAUUGUGAGCAUUGAUGGUGUCAACCAUGAAGUAGCAGCACUUACGGCGAUCGUGGAAUCGCUAAAUUCGUCUGAUCCGCUUACCAGACAACGAGCGUACGGAUACAUCUCAUCGCUAAUCAAUCAAGGGACAACUUCUGCUGUGGCAGAAGUAGCAGAGCUUCUACACAAAGAACAAGAUGACACUUCUAGUUCUACAGAGACAUUAAAGUGGUCAAGGCCACAAACAGAACUACUUAUUGCGUUAUACAAAGACAAAGUGGAAUAAUUCAAAAAUCCAUCAAUAAAAAAAAGAUUUUGUGGUUGGAAGUUACAAAUGAAUAAAAUUUCAUGGGUUAUUCAUUCACACCAAAACAGGUAGAAGGACGAUGGAAGACACUUCUGUCUUCAUAUAGACGGGUAAAGGACCUAAAUAGGCAAACUGGAAAGGACAGAAAAUCCAUAGAAUUUGGACGACAUACUUCUAGACAGGCAUGAUACCACGCCAGUCUACACUUUGUCAUCAUCGUCAAAUAGCCAAUCCGAAGAGCCAGAUUCAGAUCAUGGAUCAACACCAUCAUGUCAGCGUGAAGAGGG